rnacentral:snoRNA from 10 species
AGUGAUGAUGACCCCAGGUAACUCUGAGUGUGUCGCUGAUGCCAUCACCGCAGCGCUCUGACC